rnacentral:rRNA from 1 species
UACGAAGGGGGCUAGCGUUGUUCGGAAUUACUGGGCGUAAAGCGCGCGCAGGCGGCUAUCCAAGUCAGUGGUGAAAGCCCGGAGCUCAACUCCGGAACUGCCAUUGAAACUGUUUAGCUUGAGGAUGAGAGAGGUGAGUGGAAUUCCCAGUGUAGAGGUGAAAUUCGUAGAUAUUGGGAAGAACACCGGUGGCGAAGGCGGCUCACUGGCUCAUUACUGACACUAAGGCGCGAAAGCGUGGGGAGCGAACAGG